rnacentral:ncRNA from 1 species
AAGAGCCCAGUGCUUUGAGAGGAGCUCGCUGGGUUCUGUGGGGGGCUUUGCUGGGAACGGCAAAAUCUAUCCCGAU